rnacentral:rRNA from 1 species
UGGGGAAUUUUGGACAAUGGGCGCAAGCCUGAUCCAGCCAUGCCGCGUGCGGGAAGAAGGCCUUCGGGUUGUAAACCGCUUUUGUCAGGGAAGAAAUCUUCUGAGUUAAUACCUCGGGAGGAUGACGGUACCUGAAGAAUAAGCACCGGCUAACUACGUGCCAGCAGCCGCGGUAAUACGUGGGGGUGCAAGCGUUAAUCGGAAUUACUGGGCGUAAAGCGUGCGCAGGCGGUUUUGUAAGACAGAGGUGAAAUCCCCGGGCUCAACCUGGGAACUGCCUUUGUGACUGCAAGGCUUGAGUGCGGCAGAGGGGGGAUGGAAUUCCGCGUGUAGCAGUGAAAUGCGUAGAUAUGCGGAGGAACACCGAUGGCGAAGGCAAUCCCCUGGGCCUGCACUGACGCUCAUGCACGAAAGCGUGGGGAGCAAACAGGAUUAGAUAGCCCUGGUAGUCCACGCCCUAAACGAUGUCAACUGGUUGUUGGGAAGGUUCCUUCUCAGUAACGUAGCUAACGCGUGAAGUUGACCGCCU